rnacentral:rRNA from 1 species
UACGUAGGGGGCAAGCGUUGUCCGGAUUUAUUGGGCGUAAAGAGCGUGUAGGCGGCCAUGCAGGUCCGUUGUGAAAACUCGAGGCUCAACCUCGAGACGCCGAUGGAAACCGCAUGGCUAGAGUCCGGAAGAGGAGAGUGGAAUUCCUGGUGUAGCGGUGAAAUGCGCAGAUAUCAGGAAGAACACCCGUGGCUAAGGCGGCUCUCUAGUAGCGGUACUGACGCUGAGCACGAAAGCAUGGGAGCAAAGCAGGA